UCCGGUUUGUCACCGGCAGUCACCUUAGAGUGCCCAACUGAAUGCUGGCAACUAAGGUCAAGGGUUGCGCUCGUUGCGGGACUUAACCCAACAUCUCACGACACGAGCUGACGACAACCAUGCACCACCUGUCACUCUGUCCCCCGAAGGGGAAAGCUCUAUCUCUAGAGUGGUCAGAGGAUGUCAAGACCUGGUAAGGUGGGGAUGACG
rnacentral:misc_RNA from 1 species